AUUGAACGCUGGCGGCAGGCUUAACACAUGCAAGUCGAGCGGAGCGGCGGACGGGUGAGUAAUGCCUAGGAAUCUGCCUGGUAGCGGGGGAUAACGUACGGAAACGGGCGGUAAUACCGCAUACUAGCAGAUGAGCCUAGGGCGGAUUAGCUAGUGGGUGGGGUAAAGGCCUACCAAGGCGACGAUCCGUAACUGGUCUGAGAGGAUGAUCAGUCACACUGGAACUGAGACACGGUCCAGACGCCGACGGGAGGCAGCAGGGGGGAAUAUUGGACAAUGGGCGAAAGCCGGAACCAGCCAUGCGCGGUGUGUGAAGAAGGUCUUCGGAUUGUAAAGCACUUUAAGUUGGGAGGCGUUACCAACAGAAUAAGCACCGGCUAACUUCGUGCCAGCAGCCGCGGUAAUAC
rnacentral:rRNA from 1 species